UCUUAACCCAGUAGGUAAUUUAAAAAAGAAAAAAGAAUGAAUGAAGAAAAGAUAAAAGAAGAAAAUGUCUCUAAACCUGAUGUUGAUGUCUCUAAGUGAUUAUAAAUAGCUGAGCAAAUGCUGAUAGUAAAAAUACGAAUGCUUUCAUUUCCAGAGUGGAGGGGGCAAACAGACCAACUCUCCUACCAAUUUCCCAAGGAUGGUAUAGUUACACGGAUUAUAUAACCUAUAGGAAAGGACUUUAAACUUUAGGAGAAGCAUCGUUGAAUUCAAGGUGAUUCAAAUUAAUGAUUCUCAUCUUCGAAUUUCUGAUUAUGCUUGUCAUGAAAGGCAUAAACCAGCCCACCUGCUUUGUGAAUAUAUCAGACAAAUGCUGUUCAUCAUCCUAUGC